rfam:Ipomoea nil DNA, scaffold: scaffold1576, cultivar: Tokyo-kokei standard.
GCUGGGCUUGGUAGCGCAAGCUUGUAACCCGAGUGGGAGCAUUAUGAUGGUGGAACAAUUGGGCCUUCCUUGAAGGUUGGGUUUGGGUUGCUACCUACUAGCUUGUCCAUUCCAAGUGGUGAGUUGGGCGGUGGAGUCUUUGCAAAGGCAGAGGCUUCUUAGCCCUUAGAUUGGAGGGUACUGCGUGAGGCUGGCUUCACAGAGCAGCGAAAACCUCCUCCUCUCUGCAGUAGAAGGAUAACAGGCUUGGGCAUCCUAAGCCCACUAAUGCCUGAUGGACUGUCCAAAUUGAACCACCAUCUUU